rnacentral:lncRNA from 1 species
GGAUUUUCCAUUCAUAAAUGCUAAAAUGGCCAUUGCCUACCCUGCACCUAGGAUUUCAACCUGGAACUUUUCACACCCUCUGUGCAUUUCCUGGAGACCCUUCCCAUCAUCCACAUGAUCUGUAGGAGCACCACGGUCCUUCAGUUCUGCCAGCUAAGCUGCUCUUGAAUUCGCCUUCAUCCAGAUGGACUUUUUCAGAAGGCCUCCUUGGCCUGGGCAGCCGCAGCCUCCAGCAUUGCUCCUUUCUCUCUGCAGCAGGAGUGAUCUUUCCAGGAUGUUUAUCUGUAUCUGUCAGGUGGCUGUUCCGCCCCUGCUUAAAAUUCUCCAGCAGGACUUCAGAGUUGCCAGGGUGAAAUGCAGAGCCACUGGCUCACCCUCCCUGGUCUGAUCCUGUGCAUGUCUUCUAAACUUAUCUCUGGCACCAUGGCCAUGUGAAAUAGUCGUUCCAGCAUUUCCUUAAGCAUAUAUUUUUAAUCUUCUUUUGCCUCCUAUUCCCUCUAUUUGAAAUGUCACCCACACCACUUCCCCAUUAAUAGCUGCUUUUCUGUCUUGCUAGCUCCUACACAUUUGCACAUCACCUGGACAUUAUCGGCACCUCAAAGCCUCUCCUGGCGUUGUUCCUUCCAGAGUGAGGUGCCCCUGUCGGUUCUCCCAUAAAACCAUGGGUUGCACUGCAUGUAGCUCUCUGGACUCUGAUCAUUGAUUUACUUUCCUUUCUCCCUUAGUCACCUUUGAGUUCCACGUGCUGUCGGCCCAUCUCAAACUCAUGACACAAUUGUUGACACAUAGAUGGUAGCCAGUGCUUGUCAAUUCAGGUUUCCAGUCAAUGCAAGAAGCCCUUCUUCCGUCCCUUCAGGAUCAGCCUGCUCUCUGCAGGGCGCUUCCAGGGACAAGGCCUCAUGAGGACAGCCCACUCCAUAAACAGGUGGAAUGCUGCCUUGAUCAAGUGCAGUCUCCUUCCCAGCUCUGCAAUGCAAGCGCACCCUGGACCCUGACUUCCCCAUCCUCCUUUUAUGCAGUCUCAAACUGAUGUGUCAUCGCUCCACAGUCCCUCAAGCCCCCAAGCUUCUCCCUCCUGCCUAGCUCCUUCCCUGGCCCCCAAAGAAGGCUGACAGGAGAAACUAAACUGAAAUAAAGAGGCCAUGGUAGCUCUGUUUCCUAAGAUGUUUUGUUCUUUUUCUACCCAUAAGGGAAUGAUUCAAAAUGUCCCUCCACCUGGGUCCAACCGGUUUGCCUGAAGUUAAUUCACUCACCAGCUGUUAAGGCUGCUUCUGUCCUUGGGUGAAAUUUGGCUGGCUCACCCACUCUUCGGAGCUACAACUGGGCCUGGCCUCAUUAGAAGCCAUGUGGCCUCUGUAGCUGGCACCGUGGCUGUCCCCCGAGUCAGCCGGGAUUGCAUCAGCUCCUCUGAUGGCCAGAAGCAGAUUUCACAUUUUUUCCUCUCUCGAAUGUGUGCUGUCUUCUUGCUGCGUUCUGAUUUAGCUUCCUAUCUCUGAGACACAUAUUUAGCUCUCGUCUCAUUUGCAGAGGUACUGUCAUGCUUUUGAACGAUGUGGUCUUACUUUUCCAGCUGUUCCAUGUCACCAAACCAACAUUCUUUGGGGUUACACUUGUGGGGAAUUGUCUUCCAAAAGACUAUCUUUCUAUUUCAAGUUUUGCCUAAGCAUCUCCAGCAGACAUUAUCAAUGAGGUAAUUUUUGGCAAACUUAAGAGCGUGAUCCUGCGUAACAGAUGCUUAGGAGAGCACUGACAACUCACACAAGAUGAUUACCAUUCCACUGGCUUGACCCUCCUAGGUUGAGAGCACAAGGG